GGAGAGAUGUCCGAGUGGUUGAAGGAGCACGCCUGGAAAGCGUGUGUACGUUUAUAGCGUACCGAGGGUUCGAAUCCCUCUCUCUCCG
rfam:Geobacteraceae bacterium GWC2_53_11 gwc2_scaffold_420, whole genome shotgun sequence.